rnacentral:rRNA from 1 species
AGCUCCAAUAGCGUAUAUUAAAGUUGUUGCAGUUAAAACGCUCGUAGUCGGAUUUCGGGGCGGGCCGACCGGUCUGCCGAUGGGUAUGCACUGGCCGGCGCGUCCUUCCACCCGGAGACCGCGCCUACUCUUAACUGAGCGGGCGCGGGAGACGGGUCUUUUACUUUGAAAAAUCAGAGUGUUUCAAGCAGGCAGUCGCUCUUGCAUGGAUUAGCAUGGGAUAAUGAAAUAGGACUCUGGUGCUAUUUUGUUGGUUUCGAACACCGGAGUAAUGAUUAACAGGGACAGUCAGGGGCACUCGUAUUCCGCCGAGAGAGGUGAAAUUCUCAGACCAGCGGAAGACGAACCACUGCGAAAGCAUUUGCCAGGGAUGUUUUCA